GAUGAACGCUGGCGGCGUGCCUAAUACAUGCAAGUCGAGCGAACGGACGAGAAGCUUGCUUCUCUGAUGUUAGCGGCGGACGGGUGAGUAACACGUGGAUAACCUACCUAUAAGACUGGGAUAACUUCGGGAAACCGUAGCUAAUACCGGAUAAUAUUUUGAACCGCAUGGUUCAAAAGUGAAAGACGGUCUUGCUGUCACUUAUAGAUGGAUCCGCGCUGCAUUAGCUAGUUGGUAAGGUAACGGCUUACCAAGGCAACGAUGCAUAGCCGACCUGAGAGGGUGAUCGGCCACACUAGAACUGAGACACGGUCCAGACUCCUACGGGAGGCAGCAGUAGGGACUCUUCCGCAAUGAGCGAAAGCCUGACGAAGCAACGCCGCGUGAGUGAUGAAGGUCUUCGGAUCGUAAAACUCUGUUAUUAGGGAAGAACAUAUGUGUAAGUAACUGUGCACAUCUUGACGGUACCUAAUCAGAAAGCCACGGCUAACUACGUG
rnacentral:rRNA from 1 species